rnacentral:rRNA from 1 species
CGCUGGCGGCGUGCCUAACACAUGCAAGUCGCACGAGAAAUCCCGGGCAACUGGGAGAGUAAAGUGGCGCACGGGUGAGUAACGCGUGGGUAACCCGCCCUUGAAUUGGGGAUAACUCCGCGAAAGUGGGGCUAAUACCGAAUAAUAUUCUUUCUUCCUCGGGGGAUGGAAUCAAAGAUGGCCUCUGCAUGCAAGCUAUCGUUUAAGGAAGGGCCCGCGUACCAUUAGCUUGUUGGUAGGGUAAUGGCCUACCAAGGCAACGAUGGUUAGCUGGUCUGAGAGGAUGGCCAGCCACACUGGAACUGAGACACGGUCCAGACUCCUACGGGAGGCAGCAGUGGGGAAUCUUGCGCAAUGGGGGAAACCCUGACGCAGCAACGCCGCGUGGGUGAUGAAGGCCUUCGGGUCGUAAAGCCCUGUCAGGUGGAAAGAACAGUGGCGACGUGAAUAACUUCGCCAUUUGACGGUACCACCAGAGGAAGCACCGGCUAACUCCGUGCCAGCAGCCGCGGUAA